GUCGGAAAAUCGAGAAGGGUCAGUGGCUCUAUGCAAAUGGACACCGCACAUCCUCUGAUUUUGAUCUUGAUGGCUGGACGGCUGAGGAUUUCUACGAUCUUAGUUAUUCUGAGUUGCCAUAUGGUUUUCAGUGGUGCCCAAUUCGUGGAUUGACUCAAUUAGCAUCGUUAUUUGGGGAGGGUGAACACCAUCUGCAUUCUUUACUUGGGGACCAUCCGGGUACUUCAACUAGUACACGUGUUUGUCCUUACUUGGCUCUACGUGGGUUUCCUAAUCAUGCUCACCCUGCACCUUCAAGUGCUGCUGAAUCUAUACCUGACAGUAGUCAAUUUCAUCGGCAUCAGACUGGCUUGGCAGGACAAUUUUCUGGAGAUAUGGUCAACUCCCGCAACUUUUCUGCUACUGAUCCGCAACUUCACAACUGGCAACAACAGCCCCCGCUUUCCUACGCAGCUUCAGGGGUUCCUGAUCAGUCUGUAUCUCAGG
rnacentral:misc_RNA from 1 species